rnacentral:lncRNA from 1 species
AAUCUGAAAUAAUUCGAAGAUAAAAUCAGCAUGCAUGCAUAUGAGCAGUAGAUCACAUCUACUUCUAAUCUGAGUUUAGAACUCCAUACCUGAUCAUGGGUCGACGAUCUUUGCUACUGAUAGAUAUAGUGGAGAGGAUCCUUAUUUAUUUCUUGCAGCCACACACACAUCCAACCUCUAGAAAGAAUUCACUAGAAGCCCC